rnacentral:rRNA from 1 species
AUUGAACGCUGGCGGCAUGCCUUACACAUGCAAGUCGAACGGCAGCGGGGACUUCGGUCCGCCGGCGAGUGGCGAACGGGUGAGUAAUGUAUCGGAACGUACCUUUCAGUGGGGGAUAACGUAGCGAAAGUUACGCUAAUACCGCAUAUUCUGUGCGCAGGAAAGCAGGGGAUCGCAAGACCUUGCGCUGAUUGAGCGGCCGAUAUCAGAUUAGCUAGUUGGUGGGGUAAAGGCCUACCAAGGCGACGAUCUGUAGCGGGUCUGAGAGGAUGAUCCGCCACACUGGAACUGAGACACGGUCCAGACUCCUACGGGAGGCAGCAGUGGGGGAAUUUUGGACAAUGGGGGCAACCCUGAUCCAGCCAUGCCGCGUGAGUGAAGAAGGCCUCGGUUGU